ACGAACGCUGGCGGCGUGCCUAAUACAUGCAAGUAGCACGCUGAAGGAGGAGCUUGCUUCUCCGGAUGAGUUGCGAACGGGUGAGUAACGCGUAGGUAACCUGCCUGGUAGCGGGGGAUAACUAUUGGAAACGAUAGCUAAUACCGCAUAAGAGUAGAUGUCGCAUGACAUUUGCUUAAAAGGUGCAACUGCACCACUACCAGAUGGACCUGCGUUGUAUUAGCUAGUUGGUGAGGUAACGGCUCACCAAGGCAACGAUACAUAGCCGACCUGAGAGGGUGAUCGGCCACACUGGGACUGAGACACGGCCCAGACUCCUACGGGAGGCAGCAGUAGGGAAUCUUCGGCAAUGGACGGAAGUCUGACCGAGCAACGCCGCGUGAGUGAAGAAGGUUUUCGGAUCGUAAAGCUCUGUUGUAAGAGAAGAACGAGUGUGAGAGUGGAAAGUUCACACUGUGACGGUAGCUUACCAGAAAGGGACGGCUAACUACGUG
rnacentral:rRNA from 1 species